rnacentral:rRNA from 1 species
UACGUAGGGUGCAAGCGUUGUCCGGAAUUAUUGGGCGUAAAGAGCUCGUAGGCGGUCUGUUACGUCGGAUGUGAAAUCCCGAGGCUCAACCUCGGGCCUGCAGUGGGUACGGGCAGACUUGAGUGGUGUAGGGGAGACUGGAAUUCCUGGUGUAGCGGUGGAAUGCGCAGAUAUCAGGAGGAACACCGAUGGCGAAGGCAGGUCUCUGGGCACUUACUGACGCUGAGGAGCGAAAGCGUGGGGAGCGAACAGG